ACUGAGUUACCGCUCUACAACCCUUUGUGAACAUACCUCAACUGUUGCUUCGGCGGGCAGGAGGACAACCCCCCUCGGGGGGCGGUCCCCCUCCCGGCCGCGCCCUCACGGGCGUGGCGCCCGCCGGAGGAUACCAAACUCUAUUUUAACGACGUUUCUUCUGAGUGGCACAAGCAAAUAAUUAAAACUUUUAACAACGGAUCUCUUGGUUCUGGCAUCGAUGAAGAACGCAGCGAAAUGCGAUAAGUAAUGUGAAUUGCAGAAUUCAGUGAAUCAUCGAAUCUUUGAACGCACAUUGCGCCCGCCAGCAUUCUGGCGGGCAUGCCUGUUCGAGCGUCAUUUCAACCCUCAAGCCCAGCUUGGUGUUGGGGCCCUACGGUCGACGUAGGCCCUUAAAGGUAGUGGCGGACCCUCCCGGAGCCUCCUUUGCGUAGUAACUUAACGUCUCGCACUGGGAUCCGGAGGGACUCUUGCCGUAAAACCCCCAAAACUUUUACAGGUUGACCUCGGAUCAGGUAGGAAUACCCGC
rnacentral:rRNA from 1 species